AGUCAGCGGUAAUGCUGCAUCGGUAUUUCGCUCAACAUGGACUUCAGGAUGAAACUUUUCCACGAGCGUCCUCCUGUUUGCUUGUUGUCCAGUAAAGCUGAAAGACUCACGCAGCCCAGCCAGGAGAAGCCAAAUUGUCGUGGAAUUAGACAACACUUGCAGACUCAUCCUCUGAAGAAAGAUGCUCGCCAGCAGGGGGCGGCGUAGGACAAUAAGCAGAACCUCCAAGCUGUUCAACAUGGCCACAGGAUGGCACACAGCCCAACGCGGGAAACUGGAUCGCCACGUGAAACGCGCCAAUCACGGCUCGUUGAAGCACGCGGGUUUUCGAUGUGUAACGAAUAUCGCAGAUAUCGAAAAUAAACUGACACGAAUAUAUAACAA